GACGAACGCUGGCGGCGUGCUUAACACAUGCAAGUCGAACGGAAAGGCCCUACUUUUGUGGGGUGCUCGAGUGGCGAACGGGUGAGUAACACGUGAGUAACCUGCCCUUGACUUUGGGAUAACUUCAGGAAACUGGGGCUAAUACCGGAUAGGAGCUCCUGCUGCAUGGUGGGGGUUGGAAAGUUUCGGCGGUUGGGGAUGGACUCGCGGCUUAUCAGCUUGUUGGUGGGGUAGUGGCUUACCAAGGCUUUGACGGGUAGCCGGCCUGAGAGGGUGACCGGCCACAUUGGGACUGAGAUACGGCCCAGACUCCUACGGGAGGCAGCAGUGGGGAAUAUUGCACAAUGGGCGGAAGCCGGAGGCAGCAACGCCGCGUGCGGGAUGACGGCCUUCGGGUGGUAAACCGCUUUCGCCUGUGACGAAGCGUGAGUGACGGUAAUGGGGAAAGAAGCACCGGCGAACUACGU
rnacentral:rRNA from 1 species